UAUUUUCCGAAUUUUUAGAGAAGAGCCUUCAUGGUUUCUGUGAUUCUCUUUCUUCAAAAGGAAUCACCUUGAUCCCCAAAUCAGAAGCUGCAGACAGUGAAGUUACUGAAGAUGAAGCAAGAAGUUUCUUAGUCAAAUCUCAGCCAAAAGUUUGAAUGAUUACUUAACUGGAUGUGUUGAAAUAUUUAGGUCCUUUCUUUCUUGUAUAAGCAUCUCUGUUAGGCUACUGUAACAAUACAUUGUAAAUAUUAUUUGUACUCUAGCCUUAGAUUACUGCACUUGAUUUUCUUCAUUAGAAACAAAGAUUUUAACCCUUAUUGCCCUAUUUCACUUAGAUAUUAUUAUUGAAAUCCCUUAAUACAGUUAAACACUGAA